UGGGGAAUAUUGGACAAUGGGGGCAACCCUGAUCCAGCGACGCCGCGUGAGUGAAGAAGUAUUUCGGUAUGUAAAGCUCUAUCAGCAGGGAAGAUAAUGACAGUACCUGACUAAGAAGCCCCGGCUAACUACGUGCCAGCAGCCGCGGUAAUACGUAGGGGGCAAGCGUUAUCCGGAUUUACUGGGUGUAAAGGGAGCGUAGACGGCCAGGUAAGUCAGGUGUGAAAGCCCGGGGCUCAACCCCGGGACUGCACUUGAAACUAUCUGGCUAGAGUGUCGGAGAGGUAAGUGGAAUUCCUAGUGUAGCGGUGAAAUGCGUAGAUAUUAGGAGGAACACCAGUGGCGAAGGCGACUUACUGGACGAUAACUGACGUUGAGGCUCGAAAGCGUGGGGAGCAAACAG
rnacentral:rRNA from 1 species